UACGGAGGGUGCAAGCGUUAUCCGGAUUUACUGGGUUUAAAGGGUGCGCAGGCGGAUAUGUAAGUCAGUGGUGAAAUCUUUGGGCUUAACCCGAAAAUUGCCAUUGAUACUAUAUAUCUUGAAUGCUGUGGAGGUAAGCGGAAUAUGUCAUGUAGCGGUGAAAUGCUUAGAGAUGACAUAGAACACCUAUUGCGAAGGCAGCUCACUACACAGUUAUUGACGCUGAGGCACGAAAGCGUGGGGAUCAAACAGG
rnacentral:rRNA from 1 species